UACAGAGGGGGCAAGCGUUAUUCGGAAUUAUUGGGCGUAAAGGGCGCGUAGGCGGCUAUUCAAGUGGCGGGUGAAAUCCCUCGGCUUAACCGAGGAACUGCCUGCCAGACUGGAUGGCUUGAGGCCGGGAGAGGUGAGUGGAAUUCCCAGUGUAGCGGUGAAAUGCGUAGAUAUUGGGAGGAACACCAGUGGCGAAGGCGGCUCACUGGACCGGUACUGACGCUGAGGCGCGAAAGCGUGGGGAGCAAACAGG
rnacentral:rRNA from 1 species